GUAUGGUGCAAGCGUUAUCCGGAUUUACUGGGUGUAAAGGGAGCGCAGGCGGUGCGGCAAGUCUGAUGUGAAAGCCCGGGGCUCAACCCCGGUACUGCAUUGGAAACUGUCGUACUAGAGUGUCGGAGGGGUAAGCGGAAUUCCUAGUGUAGCGGUGAAAUGCGUAGAUAUUAGGAGGAACACCAGUGGCGAAGGCGGCUUACUGGACGAUAACUGGCGCUGAGGCUCGAAAGCGUGGGGAGCAAACAGGAUUAGAUACCCUGGUAGUCCACGCCGUAAACGAUGAGUACUAGGUGUUGGGAAGCAUUGCUUCUCGGUGCCGUCGCAAACGCAGUAAGUAUUCCACCUGGGGAGUACGUUCGCAAGAAUG
rnacentral:rRNA from 1 species